GACGAACGCUGGCGGCGUGCUUAACACAUGCAAGUCGAACGGAAAGGCGCUGCUUUUGUGGGGUGCUCGAGUGGCGAACGGGUGAGUAACACGUGAGUAACCUGCCCUUGACUUUGGGAUAACUUCAGGAAACUGGGGCGAAUACCGGAUAGGAGCUCCUGCUGCAUGGGGGGGGUUGGAAAGUUUCGGCGGUAGGGGAUGGACUCGCGGCUUAUCAGCUUGUUGGUGGGGUAGUGGCUUACCACGGCUUUGAAGGGUAGCCGGCCUGAGAGGGUGACCGGCCUCCUGGGUCCUGCGAGACGCCCCAGUAUCCUACGGGCCGCAGCAGUCGGGAACCUUGCGGAGCGGCCCGGCGUCUGUUGUGGCAGUCCCCCGAUCGGGAUGCCCUGUUUCUAGUUGUAAACCACUUUCUAAUUUACUGAAGCCUUCGUGACGGUACUUGGUCAGAAAGCCCCGGCUAACUACGUG
rnacentral:rRNA from 1 species